rnacentral:rRNA from 1 species
GAUGAACGCUGGCGGCGUGCCUAAUACAUGCAAGUCGAACGCUGGAGCUCUAGCUUGCUAGAUCGAAGGAGUGGCGAACGGGUGAGUAAUACAUAAGCAACCUACCCACGAAGACUGGGAUAAUCUCUGGAAACGGGGACUAAUACCGGAUAGGUAAUCGGAAGGCAUCUUCUGGUUAUUAAAGGUUAAAAACACUGGUGGAUGGGCUUAUGGCGCAUUAGUUAGUUGGUGAGGUAACGGCCCACCAAGACGAUGAUGCGUAGCCGGCCUGAGAGGGUGAACGGCCACAGGGGGACUGAGACACGGCCCAGACUCCUACGGGAGGCAGCAGUAGGGAAGGUUCGGCAAUGGAGGCAACCCUGACCGAGCAACGCCGCGUGAGGGAAGACGGCCUUCGGGUUGUAAAGCUCUGUUGUAAGGGAAGAACGGUAGAUAGAGAAUAUCUAAGUGACGGUACCUUACCAGAAAGCCACGGCUAACUACGUG